rnacentral:rRNA from 1 species
UCUUCGGACCUCGUGCUAUAGGGGCGGCCGAUGGCAGAUUAGCUAGUUGGUGGGGUAAAGGCCCACCAAGGCGACGAUCUGUAGCUGGUCUGAGAGGACGACCAGCCACACUGGGACUGAGACACGGCCCAGACUCCUACGGGAGGCAGCAGUGGGGAAUUUUGGACAAUGGGGGCAACCCUGAUCCAGCAAUGCCGCGUGUGUGAAGAAGGCCUUCGGGUUGUAAAGCACUUUUGUCCGGAAAGAAAUCCUAGAGGCUAAUAUCCUGUGGGGAUGACGGUACCGGAAGAAUAAGCACCGGCUAACUACGUGCCAGCAGCCGCGGUAAUACGUAGGGUGCGAGCGUUAAUCGGAAUUACUGGGCGUAAAGCGUGCGCAGGCGGUUCGCUAAGACCGAUGUGAAAUCCCCGGGCUUAACCUGGGAACUGCAUUGGUGACUGGCGGGCUAGAGUAUGGCAGAGGGGGGUAGAAUUCCACGUGUAGCAGUGAAAUGCGUAGAGAUGUGGAGGAAUACCGAUGGCGAAGGCAGCCCCCUGGGCCAAUACUGACGCUCAUGC